GAUCAUGGCUCAGGAUGAACGCUAGCGGCAGGCUUAACACAUGCAAGUCGAGGGGCAGCACAGGUAGCAAUACCGGGUGGCGACCGGCGCACGGGUGAGUAACGCGUAUGCAACUUGCCUAUCAGAGGGGGAUAACCCGGCGAAAGUCGGACUAAUACCGCAUGAAGCAGGUGACUCCCCGCAGGUAGGGAAUUAUUUGACUAAAGUAUUCAUCGCUGAUAGAAGUAGGCAUGGUCCCG
rnacentral:rRNA from 1 species